rnacentral:tRNA from 1 species
UCUAAUGGUAAAGAAUCUGCCUGCAAAGCAGGGGACCAGGGUUCGAUCCCUG